UACGAAGGGGGCUAGCGUUGCUCGGAAUCACUGGGCGUAAAGGGUGCGUAGGCGGGUCUUUUAAGUCAGGGGUGAAAUCCUGGAGCUCAACUCCAGAACUGCCUUUGAUACUGAGGAUCUUGAGUUCGGGAGAGGUGAGUGGAACUGCGAGUGUAGAGGUGAAAUUCGUAGAUAUUCGCAAGAACACCAGUGGCGAAGGCGGCUCACUGGCUCGAUACUGACGCUGAGGUGCGAAAGCGUGGGGAGCAAACAGG
rnacentral:rRNA from 1 species